UCACAUGACUCUCGGCAACGGAUAUCUCGGCUCUCGCAUCGAUGAAGAACGUAGCAAAAUGCGAUACCUGGUGUGAAUUGCAGAAUCCCGUGAACCAUCGAGUUUUUGAACGCAAGUUGCGCCCGAGGCCUUUCGGUUGAGGGCACGUCUGCCUGGGCGUCACGC
rnacentral:rRNA from 1 species